rnacentral:rRNA from 1 species
GACGUAGGAGGCGAGCGUUGUCCGGAUUCAUUGGGCGUAAAGAGCACGCAGGCGGUUUGGCAAGUCGGAUGUGAAAGCCCGGAGUUCAACUCCGGACCUGCAUCCGAAACUGCCCGACUAGAGGUAGGUAGGGGAGAUCGGAAUUCCUGGUGUAGCGGUGAAAUGCGCAGAUAUCAGGAGGAACACCGGUGGCGAAGGCGGAUCUCUGGGCCUUACCUGACGCUCAGGUGCGAAAGCUAGGGGAGCGAACAGG